rnacentral:tRNA from 1 species
CAAAUUAUAUCUAAAUAGUUUAGAAUUUCACUUACAUUGAAAUUUAUAUUGUGCGAAUCAAUAUAAUUUGA